UGGGGAAUUUUGGACAAUGGGGGAAACCCUGAUCCAGCCAUGCCGCGUGUAUGAAGAAGGCCUUAGGGUUGUAAAGUACUUUUGUUAGGGAAGAAAAGCUAGUUUUUAAUAAAAAUUAGUGAUGACGGUACCUAAAGAAUAAGCACCGGCUAACUACGUGCCAGCAGCCGCGGUAAUACGUAGGGUGCAAGCGUUAAUCGGAAUUAUUGUGCGUAAAGCGAGUGCAGACGGUUACUUAAGCCAGAUGUGAAAUCCCCAAGCUUAACUUGGGACGUGCAUUUGGAACUGGGUGAAUAGAGUGUGUCCGGGGGGGGGAGAAUUCCACAUGUAGCGGUGGAAUGCGUAGAGAUGUGGAGGAAUACCGAUGGCGAAGGCAGCCUCCUGGGAUAACACUGACGUUGAGGCUCGAAAGCGUGGGGAGCAAACAGG
rnacentral:rRNA from 1 species